CUGUGUCCAUGAGCUCUUUGCCCGCGUUCCUCCCACCCAUCACUUUGCCCCUGAGCAGAGGGAGCCGCAGCCACUGCAUCCAGCAGAUCCUGGAGGCCGUCCUGCACUGUCACCAGAUGGGGGUGGUCCACAGGGACCUCAAGCCGGAGAACCUGCUCCUGGCCAGCAAGUGCAAAGGGGCAGCGGUGAAGCUGGCAGACUUUGGCCUCGCCAUUGAGGUGCAGGGGGAUCAGCAGGCCUGGUUUGGAUUCGCGGGCACGCCCGGCUACCUGUCCCCCGAGGUCCUGCGCAAAGAGGCCUAUGGCAAACCCGUGGACAUCUGGGCAUGCGGGGUCAUCCUGUACAUCCUGCUGGUGGGCUACCCGCCGUUCUGGGACGAGGACCAGCACAAACUCUACCAACAGAUCAAGGCCGGGGCCUAUGAUUUCCCUUCGCCCGAGUGGGACACGGUCACCCCUGAAGCAAAAAACCUCAUCAACCAGAUGCUGACCAUCAACCCCGCCAAGCGCAUCACAGCUCACGAGGCCCUCAAGCACCCGUGGGUCUGCCAACGCUCCACCGUGGCCUCGAUGAUGCACAGGCAGGAAACAGUGGAGUGCCUGAAAAAGUUCAACGCCCGGAGGAAGCUCAAGGGUGCCAUCCUCACCACUAUGUUGGCCACCAGGAAUUUCUCAGUGGGCAGACAGACCACCGCUCCUCCGACCAUGUCGGCGGCCGCCGCCGGGGCCCCCCUGGGGCUGGUGGAACAAGCAGCUAAGAGCUUACUGAACAAGAAGGCGGAUGGCGUGAAGCCCCAGACCAACAGCACCAAAGGCAGUGCCGGUGUCACCAGCCCCAAGGGGACCCUCCCACCUGCCGCCUUGGAGCCUCAAACUACCGUAAUUCAUAACCCUGCAGACGGCAUCAAGGAGUCAUCCGACAGCACCAACACCACCAUCGAGGAUGAGGACACCAAAGCCCGCAAGCAGGAGAUCAUCAAGAUCACGGAGCAGCUCAUCGAGGCCGUCAACAACGGGGACUUCGAGGCCUACGCGAAGAUCUGCGACCCGGGGCUUACCUCCUUUGAGCCCGAGGCACUGGGCAACCUGGUGGAAGGGAUGGACUUCCACCGCUUCUACUUCGAGAACUUGCUCUCCAAGAACAACAAGCCGAUCCACACGACCAUCCUGAACCCGCACGUGCACGUCAUCGGGGAGGACGCGGCCUGCAUCGCCUACAUCCGCCUCACCCAGUACAUCGACGCGCAGGGCCGGCCCCGCACCAGCCAGUCCGAGGAGACCCGCGUGUGGCACCGCCGCGAGGGCAAGUGGCAGAACGUCCACUUCCACGGCUCGGGGGCCCCUGUCGCCCCGCUGCAGUGAAGAGCUCGCCGUGGCUGUCCUGGUUCCAGCCCGACGGAGACGGCGAUGGGAGCCGAGGCGGCAGCCGGAGCUGCGGCCCCCCAAAGCACGCGUCCGCAUGCCUGUCCCCCCCCCCCCNGGCCCCUGCUCCUCCCCCUCCAGUGCCUGUGUUUGCAGAAAACAAAAAGACAAAAAAAAAAAACCGAAACGAGGAAGACAACGAAAAAAAAAAAAAAGGGGGAAAACCCACCCCAAUCCCAACCCCACCCACACCCCCAAACCCAACCCAGCCGCUCGGCCACAGGCGGGGCGCUGGGGGGCUAAGCCCCCCCUCUCUGCCCGUCUCUCCUGGGGGGCAGGGGGGGUCUCGGCCCCCCUCCUGGCUGUGCUUGUGGCGUGUCGCUGUCGCUGGUGGUGGAUGUUGUUCUUUGGGCUCCGCUUUGCUCUGUCCUGCCCCGGCCCCUGUACAUAGAGAGAGCUCUUUAUUUUUGAAUUCCCGCGGGGGUCCCCAGCCACGGGGGCUGCCAGGGGGGUGAGUGAGGUGAGGGGGGGACACACACAGACUCUCCCCCCCCCCCCCCCCCAGUCCAGCCCUGCCCCUGGGGGCCCGAGGCCGAUCCCGGGCACUGCUGCGCAGGGAACACGUGGCUGGCUGUGGGAGGGUCUCUCGGUCACACCCCCGUCCCCAUCCCGCUGGUUGCCCUCCCCUAGUCCCCCGUGUCCCGAGUACCAGCUACAGGUACUGGCAGGG